GGAAGAGUUGCACUAUGUUGACCAGGCUGGUUUUGAACCCUUGGCCUCAAGCGAUCCUUCCUCUUCGGCCUCCCAAAGUGUUGGAUUUACAGAUGUGAGCCGCCCUGCCCAGACAGCAAAACUUUAUUUAAACUACUAAUUCAAAGAAUAUGAGACACCUGCUCAAAGUCACAGAGAGGUUAAACAACUUGCCUGAGAUAACGAAACUUUAAACAAGUGAGUCCUUUCCUUCCAAUCUAAGUAUGGAGUACAAUGGAACAGUAGAGCUGCACUGAAGACAAGACUUCUUGGGCUACCAUUUUUCUGGAAGUUUCUACAAAGUCUGUUAUUUAUCAUUCGGACAGACUGUGACAAAUGCCAUUUUAAUUCAAUGAUAUGAUUAAAUAAAGGUUUACUGAUUGUUUCAUUUCCUGUAUAGUUCUAUAAUUUGAUAUAAUCCCAUGUGGGGUUUUUUUUGCUUUUGUUGCUUAUGCUUUUGGUGUCAUGCCCAGAGGAAUGUCAUUGAGGUUUCCCUCUGUUUUUCCCCAGUAAUUCUUUGGGUUCAGGUCUUAUGUUUACAUCUUUAUUACAUUUUGAGGGGUUUUUUUUGUAUAUGGUAUCAGAUAAAGGUCCAAUUUCAUUCCUUUGUAUGUGAAUAUUCAUUUUUCCAAACACCUUUUAUUGAAUAGAUUAUUCUUUUUCCAUUGUACGUUUCUUGACAUCCAUGUGAAAGGGCUCUCUAUUGUAUUCUAUUUGUCUUUAUGUCUAUUUUUAUGUGAUUACCAUGCCAUUUUGAUUACUGUAACUUUGAAAUAUAUUUUGAAAUCAGGGAGUGAGGCUUCCCAUUUUGAUCUUUUUACUCAAGAUUGCUUUGGCUAUUUAAGAUCAUUUGUGGUCCAAUAUGAAUUUUAGGAUUGUUUUUUCUAAUUGUGUAAAGAAUGCCAUUGGGAUUUAGGUAGGGAUUGCAUUGACUCUGUAGAUCUCUUUGGGUAGUAUAAACAUUUUAACAAUUUAAUUCUUCCAAUUCAAAAGGGAUGUCAUUCUAUUUAUCUGUGCCUUCUUUCAUUUCAUUCAUCAAUGUCUAAUGUCUUUUAUCUCCUUGGUUAAGUGUAUUCAUAAUAAUUUUAUGCUUUUUUUUGCUAUUGUGAAUGGAAUUGCUUUCUUAAUUUCCUUUUUGUAUAGUUUGCUGUUUGUAUAUAGAAAUAUAACUGGUUCUCAUAUGUUGAUUUUGUAUCCUGUAACUUUACUGAAUCCAUUUAUAAGUUCUAAUAGUUUUCGUUGUUGUUAUUGUUGUCUUUUGGGUUUUCUACAUAUAUGAUCAUGUCUUUUGCAAA
rnacentral:lncRNA from 1 species